rnacentral:tRNA from 1 species
CGGCAUGUAGCGCAGCCCGGUAGCGCACCGUCAUAAGUCGGGGGUCGGAGGUUCGAACCUCUCAUGCCGACCA